rfam:Candidate division Zixibacteria bacterium RBG_16_43_9 RBG_16_scaffold_10718, whole genome shotgun sequence.
AAAACAGACCAGACGAUCGUCCCCCGCCGACGGCGGGGGAAGGAAAGUCCGAGCUCUCCAAGGCAGAGUGCCUCGUAACCCGAGGGUCUCCUACAGGGGAACGGAAAGUGUCACAGAAACUAUACCGCCCCCGCCCCGAUACAUCGGGGCAGGAGCAAGGGUGAAAUGGUGGUGUAAGAGACUACCGUCCCGGUAGUGAUACCGGGAGCAGGACAAACCCCACUUGAGAGCAAGACCAAAUAGGGGAGGAGAAGUCGCCUGCUUCGUUUUUACUCCCGGGUAGGUCGCUUGAGUCCAGGUGCAAACCUGGUCCCAGAUAAAUGAUCGUCAUAUCCAGAUGGAUAACAGAACUCGGCUUAUGGUCUGUUUUGGUC